rnacentral:rRNA from 1 species
AACGCUAGCUACAGGCUUAACACAUGCAAGUCGAGGGGAAACGACAUCGAAAGCUUGCUUUUGAUGGGCGUCGACCGGCGCACGGGUGAAUAACGCGUAUCCAACCUGCCCGUCACUUGGGAAUAACCUUGCGAAAGUAAGACUAAUACCCAAUGAUAUCUCUAGAAGACAUCGGAAAGAGAUUAAAGAUUCAUCGGUGAUGGAUGGGGAUGCGUCUGAUUAGCUUGUUGGCGGGGUAACGGCCCACCAAGGCAACGAUCAGUAGGGGUUCUGAGAGGAAGGUCCCCCACAUUGGAACUGAGACACGGUCCAAACUCCUACGGGAGGCAGCAGUGAGGAAUAUUGGUCAAUGGGCGAGAGCCUGAACCAGCCAAGUAGCGUGCAGGAAGACGGCCCUAUGGGUUGUAAACUGCUUUUAUAAGGGAAUAAAGUGGGUCACGUGUGACUUUUUGCAUGUACCUUAUGAAUAAGGACCGGCUAAUUCCGUGCCAGCAGCCGCGGUAAUACGGAAGGUCCGGGCGUUAUCCGGAUUUAUUGGGUUUAAAGGGAGCGUAGGCCGGAGAUUAAGCGUGUUGUGAAAUGUAGAGGCUCAACCUCUGCACUGCAGCGCGAACUGGUCUUCUUGAGUACGCACAACGUGGGCGGAAUUCGUGGUGUAGCGGUGAAAUGCUUAGAUAUCACGAAGAACUCCGAUUG